rnacentral:rRNA from 1 species
GACGAAAGCUGGCGGCGUGCUUAACACAUGCAAGUCGAACGGAAAAGGCCCCCACCUUGGUGGGGGUGCUCGAGUGGCGAACGGGUGAGUAACACGUGGGUGAUCUGCCCCUGCACUUCGGGAUAAGCUUGGGAAACUGGGUCUAAUACCGGAUAUGACCAUGGCUUAGUGUCUCAUGGUGGAAAAAUUAUUGUUUUGGUGCAGGAUGAGCUCGCGGCCUAUCACCUUGUUGGUGGGGUAAAUGCCUACCAAGGCGUCGACGGGUAGCCGGCCUGAGAGGGUGGACGGCCACAUGGGACUGAGAUACGGUCCAGACUCCUACGGGAGGCAGCAGUGGGGAAUAUUGCACAAUGGGCGCAAGCCUGAU